rnacentral:rRNA from 1 species
GACGAACGCUGGCGGCAUGCCUAACACAUGCAAGUCGAACGAGAACUUCGGGUCUAGGGGCGCACGGGGGCGUAACGCGUGGGAACCUGCCCUUAGGUUCGGAAUAACUCACCGAAAGGGGUGCUAAUAACGGAUAAUGUCUUCGGACCAAAGAUUUUUCGCCUUUGGAUGGGCCCGCGUUGGUUUAGCUGGUUGGUAGGGUAAUAGCCUACCAAGGCGACGAUCCAUAGCUGGUCGGGGAGGAUGACCAGCCACGCUGGGGCUGCGACACGGCCCAGUACGCGACGGAAGGGAGCAGUGGGGUGUACUGGACGCGGGGCGAAAGCCUGACCCAGCAGUGCCGCGUAAGUGAUGAAGGCCUUAGUGUUGUAAAGCUCUUUUACCCGGGAUGAUAAUGACAGUACCGGGAGAAUAAGCACCGGCUAACUCCGUG